GUCACCAAACACUGACAGAAUUUCAGCUCACUUACCCAAUCAAGUGUCAUCAGCAGAUAUAUGUAAUACAGUCUGAGCAAACUGAAACGUGCCAAAUAUGCCCUGAAGUACCCGUGUUCACGCUUUUCAUGUAUCAAGAAUUCAAGAUUCAAGAACCAUCUGACCCGCAACCAAACCAAACAGACCAAAUUUAGCUGCAGACAGCGGUAACAGAGCCAUCAAAACAAAUGGUAUCCACCCAAUGCAUCUUAACUAUCUGAUUUGGGCAAAACAAAAUAGGCAAUGUGCGGGUGCACAUGGAGUACAUUGCAAAAUUGAGGUGCGGUACAGUGUUAAGUUAAAAUCUCACAGCAGCUGCCACCCGGCACCUAAUCUUCCUGCAACGCCUUCAUCAAGUAUAGCCUGUUGAAACUCUGGCCAGCAACCCUGCAAUCAUAAAUGGCAACAAUCAAUACAAGGGCCUAUCAAACCUGCACCAAGUGUGCUUAAAAAACAUGCAAAAAGGCCUGCCAAACCAACUAACAAUGAAUCCACAUAUGCAUAGGAAUGUUACAGAAUCCAUACCCAUUGAUAUGGUUGCAGUAACUCGAGAUCUGAUUGGUUACGAGAUAACCCUCUAAGCGGGAUGGCUCAGGAAGCGGCUUGAAGAUAGGGUUGGAUGGAUCUUCUUCUGGCAACGGCUCCUCGCCAGCAGCCUUUCUGGACAUGUUCUCUUGCCUGUAGUGUCACAAACAAUAAGGGGGGGUGUUUAAUGUCCACACAUUUGCUGUACUAGCUUCUGGGAGGCACUAUCUUUGGAUGACACAAGAGCUAAUAAACAGCAAUGGUUCAGUAUUUGUUUUCACCUUCUCUUUUGAAGCCAUGCCUGUUGCUGUGACUGUUGCCUUCCUAGGUUGCGAUAGUAAUAUUGGAACUACAUUAAAAGGAAAACUCAGUCAAACAAAUACAUUUGUCGCUUGAAUCCAGUUCUUUUAAAGUCGAAGGUUACCUUGUUUUGCUCUGAUGAAAGACCAUCCAUGCACCCAAUCAUAAAUUCUAGGUUCCUUUCCAUAAAGGGCGCAGUCGACAAUUUAAGACGGUCAAAGUCACACUGGGACCAGAAAUGGAAAAUAUGUUACUCCAGGAAAUGCUAAAAGGAGAAGACAUAUUUUCUACAAAUGCAUUUAGGAGUAGAAAAUCUCAACCUGUGAAACAGGUGACUCAGGUUCCAGCUCCUUCAUGAAGGCACUGACAAGCGCCGAGUUGGACACUUUAAUCUGCGAGACAAACAAAAAACGAUACAUCAAGAGAUCAAUUUCAUUGCCAUGAUUAUACAGAAGAUAUAAGAGCGCGCACCGGUAUCUCCUCGAAAAUAUCAACCCAUGACAAUUUCUUUUCCCUUAGCCUGUGAAUACAACGGGUCAUUCGCACAUACAAUGUCUGAGACUUAGAAAAAGUAGAGUCACAGAAACCAAACCAUACUUCUCUCCAGUUAAACCAUUGUUGCGGUACAGAUCCAUAAAAGAGUCUGUGAGCUUCAGGGCUUUAAGAGCUAGCACUCCUUGACUAGAUCUAGAUGGGUCAUACACAAUACACACGCAUCUCCGGAUGUUCUCCUGUGAGAUGUAAACGUUAAUCCAGCAAGGAAAAUGGGAGACCAAGUAAUAAAAACCAUGAUGACCUUAGGACCUACUCAAAGAUAAGCAUGAAGCUGAUACUGAAAAAUGUUUACUUGAAAGCUCAGGCAUAACUAUGAAGCUGAAUAGCUGAUACUGAAAAAUCAUUUGCUUGAAGCUCGUACUGCAGCAUUUCAUGUAUACCUUGCUUAACCUUACAAUUGCACUAGUAAUUGUUCUUGGAAAGCAUUUGAAACUUGAAACAUAAUGCCUGAUCUGUAAAAACUAAGCACCUACUUGAAAAUUGAAAUACAGCUGAAACUUGAACCUAACACCAAAACCUUGUUGAAACCACACACUGACACCUGAAAUCUGUUGAAUUUUGGAGGGAGGGGAGGCCGACGAAUGUACAACCAGACCACCGUUGUCCACUUUACUAAGAAGCAUGGACAUGCCAGAAAUUGCCGAUUGGCCGUCCUGAUGGCGGGAGAAUCAUUUUUUUCAAAAGAAAAAUAAACAGGGGCAUGGUGGAAUACGGUACAUGACACGUCUGGGACACGGCUUGGCCAAAAAACAGCCUCGGCCCAAUACCUUGCAGGGGUCGGUUGCACGCACGCUCUCCAUAUGACGUGCUUCUCCCAGCCUCCCAGACAGCAGUGAAUGCGCCGCCGGCGGCGGCGGCAACACCUGGAAUCGACCGGCGACCGCUACCCCCAGCACCAGCAGCCUCUCCUCCCAACGGCAGGUAACCCCAACUCCCCAAACCCAGCAGCCUCUCCUCAACAUCUUCAUCUCUUUUAUUAUGAUUUUCUUCCAUUGAGCUGCUGGCUGCUGCGUGCUGCUGUUUGCUACGGUGCUCCCAUGUUCUGCUGCUCUUUGAAUGCUUGUGCUGCAUGUUGUUAGGUAGCAUGGCAUCUGGGAGUGCCACAACCGGUACGGGUAGCCAAUCGUCCGUGGGUGAGAGUGAAGGGCAGCCUCGUCCUGGUGUUUAAGAUCCCAAUUCCCAAGUAUCAUGUGUGGUCUUCUUCAGUCUCUAGUACUAGACUAGCAUUUGAUGUGUUUUGCAAGAUGCAACUUGCAUUGACAUGGGACUAUGGGAGGAUCAAUCAACCAAUUGAUGGAGGAGACACCAAAUUGGGCAGCAUUAUGAUGUCUCUCUUUUUUGCCGUGUAACUCUAUAUUAAAUGGCAUUUUUUCUUUUUAUUUUAUAUGAACUUGCUGUAUCCCCAAAUGGCUGUUUCGGAAAAUUCCAUAUCCCGUGUCCCCGUAUGCCUAUCGCCGUGUCUCCGUCCCCGUAUCCGUGCUUCUUCACCUCUUUAUGUGUACACGUAAAGGAGAAACCAGAUAGGUGCAUUCGUCUGGCUUCCCUACUGCCCGCCAUAGAAAAUCUGAAAAAAAAGAUGGAUCUGCCCCUCCAUUCCAACACUAGAUAAAAACUACAAACGUAACUUCCCUAGUCAAGUCCCAAAGCCCAUAAACUCCUUAAGCUAAAACUCCUACAAAUUCCCUUUUUAGAUAUACACAAUAUCUUAGUAUGACUAAAAUCAUCUUUUAUGGUAGACCACAAUGUGACUCUUUGAUAUAGAUAUGUAUGUAAACUCAAGAGUAGACCACAGAUUUGGCAUGUUCAAAACUGUUAACCAAAAGGAUGGUCCGGUAAAAACAUCUAAAACAGGGAGGUUCCAACAUUAGUGAAAUAUUUUUCAACACCAGCAUGCAGCUCAUUUCUCUAACUGUACCUGAUAGUUCAUAAAUGUUUCAAUCAGCUCAACGGUUUGAAAAGAUCCAAGCAAGCAGGACUGAUACCUGCAAGGAAGGUAAAAGCAAAAGCAAUGCAAAGGGUCAACAUUGUGAUCCAGUAGCAGAGUACAACAUGAAUGUUAUGCUAGAAGCCACAACGUAAGCAAGAAACAACAUAACAGCAUCAUACUCGUGUAGCUCAAGAUAAAAUAUGGUGGACAAGCAUCAUGACUCACAAACUCAUAAUAGUGUAUUUAUAAUUAAGAAAUAUACAGUGCGUUUUGAACAAGACAUGUAAACAGGUCGACUAGUAUAUCAAUAGUGUAAACUAUACCUCAUAAGCACCUAACACAGACCACUUAAAUGCUAACCCAGUAACCCUAACUCCCUCAGAUUUCCCCGAGUUUUGAUGUUACUCCACAUAAUAAACAAAUCUAGCAGCCUUUACGAAUUAGUGUUCCAGAAAGAUAAAUUACACUUGUCAAUUUGAAAAGAAUCUAGUUAAGAAAUUUAGACAUAGCUAACGUAAAACCAUGAAGUACCGGCAGAAUACACACCUAGCAGCUAUGACCAACACUUGUUAGUUCUCACUUCUCAGCAUAGUUAAAAAAGGCGCGCCUAAGCGAGCGCUUAAGCGCGCCUAGGCUCUAGGCGUUGGCAAAACGCAUUGCGCAUAACUACGCUUAAUCCGCGCAUAAUUGCGCAUAAGCAUACGCUUUGGUCAGUAAAGCGCAAGGCGGUGGCAAAACGCACAAUUAACGCCUAGCGCUUUUUUGAACUAUGCUUCUCAGCGCCAACAGCAAUACCAUAUUGCAUUGGCAAAUGAACAUGCCUCAAUUAUGUCUGGCUGUAACAUUUCCUACAGGCCUACAAUGCCAUCAAUAUAAGAAAAAACAUAGCAUAGCAUACAGAUUGUCAAUUCGAAACAAUGAAAAACUAUUGUCUAUCGAGGAGUAUGUCAGUACACUUCUACACUCUGGUCGUUCAGUUAUGCAAGACGGACAAAUAAUACAUAAAUACACGAAGAUCUGUGAAUUUGUCAAACGUACAUGUCAAAUAUCUAAACACACCACUAACUAUUCCUUAAUGAAUUUGAGUAUCAAUACUGAAUCGGAUGAAAUAGCUUCUCACCAUCCAACAGUGUUAUUGUCGACAUUAACCUCCCUCAAGCACCUCAUCAUCUCAAGCUGAUAGUUCGCACCAUCUGCAUCUGCUUCCUCGUCGUCCUCUCUUAUCUACAGUGUAAGGUAGGUAUUAUUCGCCAAUAGAUCAGAUGAAUCACAAGUAUCCUGGAAGUAACACCGCCAAGAAUGUCAAAGACUCACAGGGAAAGGAAAACAGUUGGUCACUUCCAGAACACUACCAACAUCCAAACCAAGCAGUUGACCUGUAACCAGAGCAGGCGCAAACUCCUCACAGCGCUUAAUGAUCUUCAGGACAGCCUGCAUAUUAAGAGACAAACAAAUGAUAAUUAGAAGAAAUUACACCAGCCCAGCUGUGUUUAGUAAUACAGACGCCAGUUGCUAGUCAUGGAAAUACCAACUGAUGAACCACUGGCAUACUGUAGCUGAUCUAAUCUAACUUAGUUAAAACCAGGUGAAACUUUUGUUUCAGUGUCAACCCAGUCUACACUUUUUUCGACAGGUCAAUAUUUUGGUUUAACAGUAUUGGGCUUCCAAUAACAUGCAAAACUGAAACAGGUAAAUGGAGCUAAAGAAACAACAUUAUCAAUUGUAUCCGUAGGCACCCCAGAUAAUAACAUAUGUAAGUGUGUUCUAUUAUUCAAUGUGUAUCAAAGAAAACUAGGAAAGUAGCACUAGUACCCUUUUAUAUGUGCAAACAUAUUACUAAACAGAUUGAUGUUCUCGGUGUACUUAGAGUUUAUUUUGAAGAAAAAUAUGUUCAAAUGUAGCAACUCUAGCAAAAGGUUCAGGGAGGUAUUGUAUACAAGGAAAGAGCAUCCAAUCGGUGGUCUAUGGCAAUAGACUAGACGCUGUUCUAGCCCCUCUAUGAACUACAAAUCAUACCGGAGUUGCGGUUAGCAAAAGGGUAGUUUUUCAAAAUAACUUACUCAUUUCUACUUCAAGAUGCAAAAGGUUAGUUGAAAGCGCCUUUGUUCAAAUAUGUAACAUGUACUGUAAUUAAUAAAUAUUCCCCUAACUAACUUGGCUCCACAGCACAGUAAAUUAACCACAAACUUCACCAAUGUCAAAUCAGCAAUCAUCUCAAUACAGAUCCGCCGAAAAGCGAGAGCUACCCCUAAUUUAUCUCACGCGUCAGCGACCAAAAUCAAACGAACUAAAACUGCGUAUGCACGCCAGACUCUCCCGAACGAACGCAAGAGGGGGAUCGAGAGCAAUCACCAGUCCCUCCAUCUGGACGACGCGGAGCGGCACCGCCGCCUCUUCGGUGACCGUCGACAUGGCCUGCAGGAACGACUUCCCUCCCGCCGCCAGUGCUGCUACACAUCAGCCAACCAACCACCCGACGGCAUCCAGAGUUAAAAGCGUGCAAUAAGAUAGGGCGUGGAGCGGAACGGACGAGGAUGUUGGCGUCACUUACGAUUCGCCAUGGCUGCUCGGUGGUCGGCGGCGCGGGGGCACGAAGAGGGACUGGAGGGACGGCGCGAGGAGAGGAGGACGGAGAGGGGUGGAUGUGCGGGCUAGGGUUUUUGGUGUGGCAACGAGGCUAUUCGGUCGAGUCUGUCUUGGUCGAUGUGCGGCGCAGAUCGACUCCGGUUUUUCGCUGUACACCGGUUGGAAAACAGGAAAGUUUCGUAGAGUCGAUUUAAAUUUGGUUUCGUGUUUCGGAUUAUUCAGGACAACUUUCGCCUAAUUUCUUCAUAAUAUAAAAAGGGGCGUGCUACGCGUCGGCCGGCGGAUCUUUUCAUUCGUUGCCACGUGAGCCGUCAGAUCUGGUUCAAUCCAUUGGCUGACCGUCAUCUUUUACUUAUGCAACAGAAAUCGUGUGACAAAACCCUUUACAAUAGAAAUAUGUGUUGCUAAAACAUUUGCAACAGAGAUUGUAUUGCCAAUUUUUUUCGUAGCUGACGUGAUGUUGCAGAAACAUUUGCAGAUAUUUUUACAAGAAAUAUUAAGUUGCAGAAGAUUUAUGCAACAAAGAAAAUGUUGCAGGAACUGCUGUUGCGGUGGCACCAACAGUUGCGGCUAAAGCUCGAGGAGGCAACAACCAUGGAUGCUGGUGCUCCUCAGGGGAGUUGGUGUGCUUGCCGACAGUGAGCCCCGGUGGCGAUGGUCGGAGCAGUGUGGUGGCGACUGCUUGUGAGGAAUAUGGGAGGCGCAUGCUCGUGUUUGUCGGCGGCCUCGUCAACAUGCUUAUCAGCAGCCUCGUCGGCGUGCUUGCCGGCCGCGGCGACCGUACUUGUUGGUGGCCUCGUUGGCGUGUUUGAUAGCGACAGUGGUCGGAGCAGUGCGCGGAGGUCGUGGCUUAACGAGGAGCUCGAGAGCAGUACGGGAGGUGAUUAUCUCUCGAGGGGAUUCAGAUCCCGCAACACACCAGUUGUUGUGGUGGGGAGAUUUCAACAACUACUCAGUUGCAAGACUUAGUCUAGAUAAUACAUUGCUUCUGAGCCAUCUGAUUAAAAUCAUAUUUGACGGUCACAAAGGCGACGGACGCACACGUCGUUAUUAGUCGGAUGAUUUGAUUAUUUCCCAUAUAAAACACCUUUUGAGACAAAACUUAAGUUUUUUCUGGUGAAAGAAAUUACAUGGACCGAUAAGUGACACACGUGUGGCACGAAGCAAUUCCGCCAUGACGUUUUUUAUGGCAACUUUAGUUAUGAGAGAAUGGCAACUUUCUGUUUGGAUGGCAAGUUUUAGUUUUUUGGGGGAUUUGUUUUUUUGGAUGGCACCUUUAGUGUAAAAAACGUCAGGGCGGUGUUACUUCAUGACACAGGUGUGGCACUUAUCAUUUGAGAAAAACAUUCAAGAUUAUAUAGGAUUAUACACGAAAGACCUUUUUUUGGCUUAAGUAUUUGAAAAGAAGGAAAUCUAGGGCUCACUUGGUUUACGAGAUUUUCAUAUUAAGUAUAGUAGGAAAAAAUUGAGAUGUCCUCUUCACUCUAAUGCUUAUUAGGAUUUUUUCCAUAUGAAAACUGAUAUAGAGCCUGGCACUCCUGACUGCCUCGGCGCGACGCAAGCGCUACAGUCGAAUCUCAAUGCACGAAAUCUCGGUGUUGGGCGCUUAGGCCACAUAGACACCAACCGUUCAUUCCCAGGGUGGAAAACGCGCCACAUGGGGGUGGGUAGUUGCUUUCUCAAGGGGGUUUGGAACCACGCCUCACAAUCGCUUGCUCUCUCUCAUUUCCACUUGCCUCUUCCUCUUCACCCGCGUGAUGUUGUCCUAUUCUCCGGCGAAUAGAUUGCCAUUGCUCACCGGUGGACGGAUUCGACAAUCCCGCCGCGCCAUUGCAUCAAGCUUUGAGGCGGGCUCAUUUUCACCAACCAGUUGUUCGCUCGGGUUCAUCUUUACACGUUGGGGUUCGAGAGAGUGAGGGUUGUUGGGUAACGUUGCAUGGAAAACAAAAAAAAUCUACACACACACAUAAGAUCUAACUAUGGAGAUGCAUAGCAACGAGAGGGAGAGUGUGUCUAUGUACCCUUGUAGACCGUAAAGCGGAAGCGUUUAACAACAUGGUUGAUGUAGUCGAACACCUUCGUGAUCCAACCGACCAAGUACCGAAUGUAUGGCACCUCCAUGUUCAGCACAUGUUCAACUCGAUGACGUCCUUGCCUUCUUAAUCCAGCAAGACGGGCGAAGUAGUAGAUGAGUUCCGGCGGCACAACGACGUGGUGACGGUGAUGGUGAACUUGUUCCCGCAGGGCUUCGUCGUGCACUGCAAAAAACUAGACGGAGGACUAAAUUGUGGAGAGGGGCGCCGCGCACGGCUAACAGAUUGUUGUGGGUUUGUGUGGCGCCCCCUCCCUCAUAUAUAUAGGUGGGGGGAGGGGAGGCAGCCAAGGGGCGCCCCGAGGUGGCCGACCGGCCCCCUUGGGCUCCUGCCCUAUGCCCCCCCUUCCUUGUUUGCAUGUGGGGAGAAGGCAGGAGGAGGUGCCCCCCUCCCUUUUCCUUCCUCUUAGGUGGAGGGAUGGAAAGAGGGGCUAGCCCUCCCCCCUUUCCAUCCAUAGGGUCGGCGGCCAAGAGAAGGGGCGCGCCAGCCCCAUGUGCGCUGGUGUGUUCCCCCUUCUUGGCCCAUAAGGCCCAUUAACCUCCUGGGGCUUCUCGGAACCCCUUCUCGUGAUCCGAUGACUACCCGAUACACUCUGAAACCUUUUUGGUGACCAAAUAGCAUCGUCCUAUAUAUCAAUUUUUAUGUCCGGACCAUUCUAGAGCUCCUCAUCAUGUCCAUGAUCUCAUCCGGGACUCCGAACAACAUUCGGUCACCAAAUCACAUAAACUCAUAUAAUACUAUACCAUCAACGAACGUUAAGUGUGCGGACCCUACGGGUUCGAGAAUGAUGUAGACAUGACCGGGAUGCCUCUCCAGUCAAUAACCAAUAGCGGAACCUGGAUGCGCAUAUUGGUUCCUAUAUAUUCUACGAAGAUCUUUAUAGGUCGAACCUUAUGACAACAUAAGUAAUCCCCUUUGUUUGUCGGUAUGUUACUUGCCCGAGAUUUGAUCGUCGGUAUCUUCAUACCUAGUUCAAUCUCGUUGCCGGCAAGUCUCUUUACUCGUUCCAUAACACAUCAUCUUAUAACUAACUCCUUAGUCAUUUUGCUUGCAAGCUUCUUGUGAUGUGUAUUACCGAGAGGGCCCAAAGAUACCUCUCCGAUACACUGAGUGACAAAUCCAAAUCUCGAUCCAUGCCAACUCAACAGACACCUUCAGAGAUACCUGUAGAGCAUCUUUAUGAUCACUCAGUUACGUUGUGACGUUUGAUAGCACACAAGGUAUUCCUCCGGUAUCCGGGAGUUGCACGAUCUCAUAGUCAAAGGAAUAUGUAUUUGACAUUAAGAAAGCAAUAGCAAUAAACUAAACGAGUAUAUGCUAAGCUAACGGAUGGGUCUUGUCCAUCACAUCAUUCUCCUAAUGACGUGAUCCCGUUAUCAAGUGACAACACAUGUCUAUGGUUAGGAAACCUUAACCAUCUUUGAUCAACGAGCUAGUCUAGUAGAGGCUCACUAGGGACACGAUAUUUUGUUUAUGUAUCCACACAUGUAUUUAAGUUUUCGAUCAAUACAAUUAUAGCAUGAAUAAUAAACCUUUAUCAUGAAUAAGGAAAUAUAAUAAUAACAACUUUAUUAUUGCCUCUUGGGCAUAUUUCCAUCAGUCUCCCACUUGCAUUAGAGUCAAUAAUCUAGAUUACAUUGUAAUGAAUCUAACACCCAUGGAGUCUUGGUAUUGAUCAUGUUUUGCUCACAAAAGAGGCUUAGUCAACGGGUCUGCUACAUUCAGAUCCGUGUGUAUUUUGCAAAUUUCCAUGUCUCCAUCCUUAACCUUUUCACGAAUGGAGUUGAAGCGUCUCUUGAUGUGUUUGGUUCUCUUGUGAAACAUGGAUUCCUUUACAAAGGCAAUUGCUCCAGUGUUGUCACAAAAGAUUUUCAUUGGACCCGACGCACUAGGUAUUACACCCAGAUUGGAUAUGAACUCCUUCAUCCAGACUCCUUCAUGUGCUACUUCUGAAGCAGCUAUGUACUCCGCUUCACACGUAGAUCCCGCCACAACGCUCUGCUUGGAACUGCACCAACUCACAGCUCUACCAUUCAAUACAAAUAUGUAUCCGGUUUGUGACUUAGAGUCAUCCAGAUCAGUGUCGAAUCUAGCAUCAACGUAACCAUUUACGAUGAGUUCUUCGUCACCUCCAUAAACGAGAAACAUAUCCUUGGUCCUUUUCAGGUACUUUAGGAUGUUCUUGAUCGUCGUCCGGUGAUUCACUCCUGGAUCACUUUGGUACCUCCCUGCCAAACUUAUGGCAAGGCACACAUCAGGUCUGGUACACAAUAUAGCAUACAUGAUAGAACCUAUGGCUGAGGCAUAGGGAAUGACUUCAUUUUCUCUCUAUCUUCUGCCGUUGUCGGGCUUUGAGUCUGACUCAAUUUCACACCUUGCAACACAGGCAAGAACCCUUUCUUUGACCGAUCCAUUUUGAACUUCUUCAAAACUUUGUCAAGGUAUAUGCUUUGUGAAAGUCCUAUUAAGCAUCUCGAUCUAUCCCUAUAGAUCUUGAUGCCCAAUAUAUAAGUAUCUUCACUGAGGUAUUUCAUUGAAAAAUUCUUAUUCAAGUAUCCUUUUAUGCUAUCCAGAAAUUCUAUAUCAUUUCCAUCCAACAAUAUGUCAUCUACACAUAAUAUCAGAAAUGCUACAGAGCUCCCACUCACUUUCUUGUAAAUACAGGCUUCACCGCAUGUCUGUAUAAAACCAUAUGCUUUCAUCGUAUCAUCAAAGCGUAUAUUCCAACUUCGAGAUGCUGCACCAGUCCAUAGAUGGAUCACUCGAACUUUCACACUUUGUUAGCACCUUUAGGAUCGGUAAAACCUUCUAGUUGCAUCAUAUACAAAUCUUCUUUAAGAAAUCCAUUAAGGAAUGCAGUUUUGACGUCCAUUUGCCAGAUUUCAUAAUUAUGAAAUGCGACAAUUGCUAACAUGAUUCAGAUACACUUAAGCAUCGCUACGGGUGAGAAAAUCCCAUUGUAGUCAAUCCCUUGAACUUGUCGAAAACCUUUUGUGACAAGACGAGUGCUACAUCUUGAGCUUGCGUUGAUUUUCCUUGAAGAGGAAAGGGUGAUGCAGCAAUAGUAGCGUAAGUAUUCCCCUCAGUUUUUGAGAACCAAGGUAUCAAUCCAGUAGGAGGCUCCUCAAAAGUCCCACACACCUACACAAACAAACAAAGAACUCGCAACCAACGAAAUAAAGGGGUUGUCAAUCCCUUCACGGUCACUUGCGAAAGUGAGAUCUGAUAGAGAUAAUAUGAUAAGAUAAAUAUAUUUUUGGUAUUUUAUAAUAUAGAUGCAAAAAGUAAAGAUGCAAAUAAAAGUAGAUUGAAAGCUUAUAUGAUAAAAGAUAGACCCGGGGACCAUAGGUUUCACUAGUGGCUUCUCUUAAGAUAGCAUAAGUGUUACGGUGGGUGAACAAAUUACUGUCGAGCAAUUGAUAGAAAAGUGAAUAAUUAUGAGAUUAUCUAGGCAUGAUCAUGUAUAUAGGCAUCACGUCUGCAACAAGUAGACCGACUCCUGCCUGCAUCUACUACUAUUACUCCACACAUUGACUGACUCCUGCCUGCAUCUAGAGUAUUAAGUUCAUAAAGAACAGAGUAACGCAUUAAGCAAGAUUACAUGAUGUAGAGGGAUAAACUCAUGCAAUAUGAUAUAAACCCAAUCUUUUUAUCCUCGAUGGCAACAAUACAAUACGUGCCUUGCAACCCUUUCCGUCACUGGGUAAGGACACCGCAAGAUUGAACCCAAAGCUAAGCACUUCUCCCAUGGCAAGAAAGAUCGAUCUAGUAGGCCAAACCAAACUGAUAAUUCGAAGAGACUUGCAAAGAUAACUCAAUCAUACAUAAAAGAAUUCAGAGGAGAUUCAAAUACUUCUCAUAGAUAAACUUGAUCAUAAACCCACAAUUCAUCGGAUCUCGACAAACACACCGCAAAAGGAGUUUACAUCGAAUAGAUCUCCACAAGAGAGGGGGAGAACAUUGUAUUGAGAUCCAAAAAGAGAGAAGAAGCCAUCUAGCUAAUAACUAUGGACCCGAAGGUCUAUGGUAAACUACUCAUAACUCAUCGGAGAGGCUAUGGUGUUGAUGUAGAAGCCCUCCUUGGUCGAUUCCCCCUCCGGCGGAGCGCCGGCGAGGGCUCCAAGAUGGGAUCUCGCGGAUACAGAAGGUUACGGCGGUGGAAAUUGUGUUUCGUUGGCUCCCUGGAUGUUUUCGGGGUACGUAGGCUUAUAUAGGAGGAAGAAGUACAUCGGUGGCCGCCCGAGGGGCCCACGAGAUAGGGGGCGCGCCCAGAGGGGGUGGGCGUGCCCUCCUGUCUCAUGGCCGCCUCGACUGCUUUUUGACUUGCACUCCAAGUCCUUUGAACCACGUUCGUUCCAAAAAUCACGCUCCCGAAGGUUCAUUCCAUUUGGACUCCGUUUGAUAUUCCUUUUCUUCGAAAUACUGAAAUAGGCAAAAAAACAGCAAUACGGGCUGGGCCUCUGGUUAGUAAGUUAGUCCCAAAAAUGAUAUAAAUGUGUAAAAUAAAGCCCAUAAACAUCCAAAAGAGGUAAUAUAAUAGCAUGGAACAAUAAAAAAUUAUAGAUACGUUGGAGACGUAUCAAGCAUCCAUUCCUGCUCGUCCUCGAGUAGGUAAAUGAUAAAAAUAGAAUUUUUGAUGUGGAAUGCUACCUAGCAUAAUUCUCAAUGCAAUUUUCUUUAUUGUGGCGUGAAUGUUUAGAUCCAAAUGAUUCAAGAUAAAAGCUUAUAAAACAUAAAAAUAAUAAUGCUUCAAAGCAUACUAACAAAUAAUCAUGUCCUGUCAAAAUAGCAUAGCCAAAGAAAGCUUAUCCCUACAAAAUCAUAUAGUUAGGCCAUGCUUCAUUUUCAUUACACAAAAUACUCCCAUCAUGCACAACCCCGAUGAUGGGCCGAGCAACUUUUUCAUACUUUUUAACGCGCUUCAGCUUUUUUUCAACUCUUACGCAAUACAUGAGCGUAAGCCAUGGACAUAGCACUAAGGUGGUAAAAGAUGGUGGUUGUGAGGACAAAAAGAGGGAGAAGAUAGUCUCACAUCAACUAGGCGUAUCAACGGGCUAUGGAGAUGCCCAUCAAUAGUUAUCAAUGUGAGUGAGUAGGGAUUGCCAUGCAACGGAUGCACUAGAGCUAUAAAUAUAUGAAAGCUCAACAAAAGAAACUAAGUGGGUUGCAUCCAACUCACUUGCUCACGAAGACCUAGGGCAUUUUGAGGAAGCCCAUCAUUGGAAUAUACAAGCCAAGUUCUAUAAUGAAAAAUUCCCACUUAGUAUAUGAAAGUGACAACAUAGGAGACUCUCUAUCAUGAAGAUCAUGGUGCUACUUUGAAGCACAAGUGUGGAAAAAGAGAUAGUAGCAUUGUCCCUUCUCUCUUUUUCUCUCNNNNNNNNNNNNNNNNNNNNNNNNNNNNNNNNNNNNNNNNNNNNNNNNNNNNNNNNNNNNNNNNNNNNNNNNNNNNNNNNNNNNNNNNNNNNNNNNNNNNNNNNNNNNNNNNNNNNNNNNNNNNNNNNNNNNNNNNNNNNNNNNNNNNNNNNNNNNNNNNNNNNNNNNNNNNNNNNNNNNNNNNNNNNNNNNNNNNNNNNNNNNNNNNNNNNNNNNNNNNNNNNNNNNNNNNNNNNNNNNNNNNNNNNNNNNNNNNNNNNNNNNNNNNNNNNNNNNNNNNNNNNNNNNNNNNNNNNNNNNNNNNNNNNNNNNNNNNNNNNNNNNNNNNNNNNNNNNNNNNNNNNNNNNNNNNNNNNNNNNNNNNNNNNNNNNNNNNNNNNNNNNNNNNNNNNNNNNNNNNNNNNNNNNNNNNNNNNNNNNNNNNNNNNNNNNNNNNNNNNNNNNNNNNNNNNNNNCAAGUGUGGAAAAAGAGAUAGUAGCAUUGUCCCUUCUCUCUUUUUAUCUCAUCAUUUUUUUUCUUUUUCUUUUUUUUCUUUCUCUUUUUUUUCUUAUUUGGCCUUUUUCUUUUUUUCUUUUUGGCCUUUCUCUUUUUUUUUUUGCUUUUUUUUCUUUUUUUUGUAAAGUCUGAAGUCUCAUCCCGACUUGUGGGGGGAAUCAUAGUCUUCAUCAUCCUUUCCUCACUAAGACAAUGUUGUAAUAAUGAAGAUCAUCACACUUUUAUUGAUUUACAACUCAAGAAUUACAACUUAAAGCUAGAACAAGAUAUGACUCUAUAUGAAUGCCUCCGGCGGUGUACCGGGAUAUGCAAUGAAUCAAGAGCGACAUGUAUGAAAAUUAUGAAGGUGGCCUUGCCACAAAUACGAUGUCAACUACAUGAUCAUGCAAAAAGCAAUAUGACAAUGAUGGAACGUGUCAUAGUAAACGGAACGGUGGAAAGUUGCAUGGCAAUAUAUCUCGGAAUGGCUAUGGAAAUGCCAUAAUAGGUAGGUAUGGUGGCUGUUUUGAGGAAGGUAAAUAAAGGGUUCAUGAUACCGGUGAAAGUUGUGCGGUAAUAAUAGAGGCUAGCAAAGUGGAAGGAUGAGUGUGCGUAUAUCCAUGGACUCACAUUAGUCAUAAAGAACUCAUAUACUUAUUGCAAAAGUCUACUUAGCCCUCAAAGCAAAGUACUACUACGCAUGCCCCAAGAGGGAUAGAUUGGUAGGAAAAGACCAUCGCUCAUCCCCGACUGCCAUUCAUAAGGAAAACAAUCAAAAGAGCACCUCAUGCAACAAAUUUGUCACACAACUUUUACCAUACAUGCAUGCUACGGGACUUGCCAACUUCAACAAAAGUAUUUCUCAAAUUCAAAAUCACCUAUUAGCAUGACCCUAACAUUACUACCUUUAUAUCUCAAAACAAUUAUCAAGCAUCACAUUAAUCAUAGCAUCCAAUUCACUUCCUAUGAUAGUUUUUAUUAUACAUGGAAGGAUCGAGAAAAUGUGUCUAGAGGGGGGGUGACUAGACACUAAGUACCAAAAGUUCCAGUUUUUAACUUCUUUAAGUUGGAGUGGAGUUUAGGCACAAGUUUAACAUUCACAAUACAUAUCAAGCAAGUAUGCAAAGAGUAUAUGAGCAACGGAAAGUAAAGCAUGCAACUUGCAAGAAUGUAAAGGAAAGGGUUUGGAGGAUUCAAACGCAAUUGGAGACACGGAUGUUUUUGUCAUGGUUCCGAUAGGUGGUACUAUCAUACAUCCACGUUGAUGGAGACUUCAACCCACGAAGGGUAACAGUUGUGCGAGUCCACGGAGGGCUCCACCCACUAAGGGUCCACGAAGAAGCAACCUUGUCUAUCCCACCAUGGUCGUCGCCCACGAAGGACUUGCCUCACUAGCGGUAGAUCUUCACGAAGUAGGCGAUCUCCUUGCCCUUACAAACUCCUUGGUUCCACUCCACAAUCUUGUCGGAGGCUCCCAAGUGACACCUAGCCAAUCUAGGAGAUACCACUCUCCAAGAAGUAACAAAUAGUGUGUUGAUGAUGAACUCCUUGCUCUUGUGCUUCAAAUGAUAGUCUCCCCAACACUCAACUCUCUCUCACAGGAUUUGGAUUUGGUGGAAAGAAGAUUUGAGUGGAAAGCAACUUGGGGAAGGCUAGAGAUCAAGAUUCAUAUGGUAGGAAUGGAAUAUCUUGGCCUCAACACAUGAGUAGGUGGUUCUCUCUCAGAAAAUGUAUGCUGGAAGUGUAGGUUUGUUCUGAUGGCUCUCUCCACGAAUGAAGAGUGGGCGGAGGGGUAUAUAUAGCCUCCACACAAAAUCUAACCGUUACACACAACUUGCCAAUCUCGGUGGGACCGAAUUGAGAAACUCGGUCGGACCGAUUCAGCAAAUCUAGUGACCGUUAGGAUUUUCGAUGGGACCGACAUGCAACUCAGUAGGAUCGAUAUGGUUAGGGUUAGGGCAUAACGUAAUCUCGGUGAGACCGAUUACUCAAACUCGGUAGGACCGAUUUUGGUAAUAAGCUAACCAGAGAGUUGGUCAGGCAAACUCGGUGAGACCGAUUACACAAACUCGGUGGGACCUAUUUUGGUAAUAAGCUAAGCAGAGAGUUUGCAUUGUAAUCUUGGUAGUACCGAUUGCUCAAACUCGGUGAGACCGAUUUUGGUAAUGGACAUACAUAGAGAGAUUACAAUCCCAUCUCGGUGAGACCGAGAUCACUAUCGGUGAGACCGAUUUGCCUAGGGUUUGUGGCAGUGGCUAUGACAUCUGAACUCGGUGGCGCCGGAUAGAAAGAAUCGGUGGGGCCGAGUUUGACUUUUGGUUUAGGUCAUAUGUGGAUGUGAGAAAGUAGUUGAGGGCUUUGGAGCAUAUCACUAAGCAUUUAGAGCAAGUAAGCCAUUAAGCAACACCUCAUCCCUCCUUGAUAGUAUUGGCUUUUUCUAUUGACUCAAUGUGAUCUUGGAUCACUAAAAUAGAAAAUGUAGAGCCUUGUUCUUGGAGCUUGAGCCAAUCCUUUGUCCUUAGCAUCUUGAAGAGGUUCCACAUCCUUUAGUCCAUGCCACUCCAUUGUUGAACUUGUCUGAAACAUACUAGGUAAAAGUGUUAGUCCAACAAAAGAUAUGUUGACAUUAAUUACCAAAAUCACCCGGGGAGCACUUGUGCUUUCAAUCUCCCCCUUUUUGGUAAUUGAUGACAACAUACAGCAAAGUUUUAGAUAAGGAUAUAGAGAAUAACAAGUAAAGCUUUGGAAAGACAUGUAACAAGCAUAGGCUCCCCCGAUAUGUAUGCAAUCAUGUGAAUAUGGAAUAUAGGAGCAUGUGAGAGCAUAACCAUGAUAGAGUAGGCAAUGUGUUACAUGUAUCUUGGCUAUAUGCAUCAGAGCAAAAGAUGUGAAUAUGGGAAAUGUACCUUCAUGCUCAUGAGUCCUUCUUGCAAAUAGUAUGUACAUCAGCAAGAAUUCCUCCUACGCAUGAUUGUGAUGCAUAUACUUACCUUGUGGUCUUGAGUUGGCUUAGGAUGGAACGAACCUGUGAAAAUAAGGUUAGAUAACACAAAUACACUUGCUGGCCAGAGCAAACAAAAGAAACCACAAGAGUACCAAGACCGGGUUGACAUGUAGAGUGAGUACUAAGUACCACAUUUGAUAUAGACAUGUCCCCAAAGGUAAAGAUGUGCAAUGAAUUUGAAGAACUUCUUUCCCUUAGAUGUCUUGCUCCCCCUGAAUCUAGCAUGGGAUACUGGGAGAAGAUAGGGAACAAAAAAUCAGAGCUCAAAGAAACAAAUGAACAGAGCUAAUGCAAAUAAGCACAUAUGAACAUGUAUUUCCCCUCAAGAAGACAUGUGGCAUCUCUCCUCUUUAACACCAAGCAUCUGGGAUCCUUGAAGAUUACUCUCUCCUUGAGUAUUCUCUCCCCCUAGAGAUAUGAUUAAGCUUUGAUGUGAUCUCUCUCUCCCCCUUUGACAUCAAUUUCCAAGAAGGGUCUUCUGGAAUUUGUCGUGAAUGGGUUUGGUCCUCGAGUCACAGCACAAAGCACUAAGGUAAAUGCGAUGCUUGUAGAGGACAAGAUUCAUUGAGUGGAUCUGGAUCAAAAGUAAUGCAUGAAUAAAUGGCAAAAUGUUUUUCCUGUAGUGAAAUCGGUGGCACUGAGUGGUAUGCUUCGGUUGCACCGAAAGGAUUCGGUUGAACCGAAAGCAUCAAACCGGUGAGACCAAGUUCAUCGCAGAGAAAACACUUGUCACCUCAGCUCACUAGACAAGUAAGAUCUCACAAGGAUUUGCAAGGAAUUCACGGGAAGAUUUGCAAUGAAUUGGAUGUAGGGAAUGCAGAACAAAUAGAAAAGAAAAGAAAUCUAGAUGAAGUUUUUUUGAAAGGGGAAACAAAAAUAUAUAUGAGACAAAUGCAAGAGCACAGAAAAGAGCACAAGAAAACUUCACCUAGAAUUGGUCGGCGACAGAGUCACCUAUGUUAGAGUAUAUUGACUUAGGAGUCAAGUGAGAUCACUUGAUCAUAGGUCAUACUCAUCGUUUAAGCUCAAAAUGGGGUUACCAUUUUUCAUUUAAGCAUCUUGAUUUAUUCACAUCUUGUUGAGUUUCUUUGACUCAUGACUUCGAGUAAAGCUUCUCUAAGAUGGAAUAACAUACCUUGGGUGGUGGUGUUGAUCGUGAUCAUGUAGUUGAACUUGUGUGGGUUGCUCAAGGUUGAUGUAGCUCAUCAAGAGUUGGGAGCACCACUUGGAAUUUGAGUUCAUCUACCUACAUGGGUUAGUUUUUGCAAGUAAGAGCACUUGUGUAUCCAAAAUGACAAUCAUGAAGUUCAAUAAUAAAUUUGUCAAAGGAUAUGUUUGAAUGGUUCCGUGCUUCCUUGUCUUCAACCACAAUUGGGUAGAGACUUGGUGAUGUAGAGAUUGCUCAAGAUGUGAGUGAGUUGCAAUCUCAUAGAUUUAGAUUCAUCCAAGUACCUACAUGGGUUAGAUAACAUGCAAGGUGCAAAUAUAUCCAAGACAUAAGAUUAUCAUCAUAAGAGAAAUGUCAAGGAUUAGUCAUAAGCUCAUGUCUUGCAUGUAUCCAAUGGAGUUCCUACUCCAAGUUCGAGGCAUCAAUGAUGUUCAAUUCACCUCUUAACCUGCAAAACACUUUCUCAUCAAGUGGUUUAGUGAAUAUAUCCGCUAAUUGCUUUUCGGUGCGAACAUGCUUAAGAUUAAUGUCACCCUUAGCAACAUGAUCUCGAAUGAAAUGAUGACGAACUUCAAUAUGCUUAGUUUGAGAGUGUUGCACGGGAUUGUGAGCAAUAUUGAUAGAACUCUCAUUGUCACAAAGUAAUGGAACAUGUUUCACAUAUAUCCCAUAAUCUUUAAGAGUUUGGGUCAUCCAAAGUAAUUGAGCACAACAUGAACCAGCGGCAAUGUAUUCCGCUUCGGCGGUGGAUAAGGAUACCGAGUUUUGUUUCUUGGAAGACCAAGACACAAGAGAUCUACCAAGAAAUUGACAAGUACCCAAAGUGGACUUUCUAUCAACCUUGUCACCGGCAUAAUCUGAGUCGGAGUAGCCAACAAGAUCGAAAGAGGCCCUCUUAGGAUACCAAAUGCCAAAAUUUGGUGUAUGGAUUAAGUAUCUCACUAUCAUUUUCACGACCUUAAGAUGACAUUCUUUAGGAGCAGCUUGAUAUCGUGCACACAUGCACACACUUAGCAUGAUAUCGGGACGUGAAGCACAUAGAUAUAACAAUGAACCAAUCAUAGAGCGAUAAACCUUUUGAUCGACCGGUUCACCAUCUUUGGUCGAGUCAAGAUGUCCACUAGUAGGCAUGAGUGUAGUCAUACCUUUGCAUUCUUACAUAUUGAAUUUUUUGAACAAGUCCUUGGUGUACUUCGUUUGAGAGACAAAGGUUCCCUCCUUAGUUUGCUUGAUUUGCAAACCAAGAAAGAAUUUGAGUUCACUCAUCAUAGACAUCUCAAACUUCUCCGACAUUAGUUUUCCAAACUUUUCACUAAAAUGAGGGUUAGUAGAACCAAAUAUAAUAUCAUCAACAUAGAUUUGGCACACAAAUAGUUCUCCAUUAACCCUUUUAUUAAAAAGAGUAGAACCUAUUUUUCCAAUUUCAAACCCUUUUUCAAUAAGGAACUUGGUCAAGCAUUUAUACCACGCUCUAGGAGCUUAUUUAAGACCAUAAAGAGCUUUGUGAAGUUUGUAAACAUGGUCAUGUUUCUUAGGAUUAACAAAGAUGGGAGGUUGCUUAACAUAAACUUCCUCCUCUAUUUCACCAUUUAGAAAAGCACUUUUAAUGUCCAUUUGGUACAAGGUGAUAUCAUGGUGAUUAGCAUAGGCAAGUAAGAUGCGAAUGGACUCAAGUCUAGCAACGGGAGCAUAAGUGUCACCAUAGUCCAUACCUUCGACUUGUGUGUAGCCUUGGGCGACGAGACGUGCUUUGUUCGAACUACUUGUCCAUCUUCAUCUUCCUUGUUGUGAAACACCCAUUUGGUACCGAUGAUAUUGUGGUUGUUGUCGGGCUUCUCAACCAAUGUCCACACUUGAUUUCUCUGAAAGUUGUGUAGCUCUUAAUGCAUAGCGUUUAUCCAGUUUGGAUCUUCCAAUGCUUCUUCAACCUUCAUAGGUUCAUUGCUAGAGAUGAAUGAAUAGUGUUCACAAAAGUUAGCUAAACGAGUUUUGGAGCGAGUGAUUCUCCCGGUUUGGAUAUCUUUGUAGAUUUGCUCAACGGGGUGAUCUUUAGUAAUUCUUGCUCGAACUCGUGAAAGCUUUUGCUUGGGUCUUGGUUGAACAUCUUCUUCAUCUUCUUCUUCUUCUUGGCCUUCUUCAUUGUUGGCAUUGUCGUUCUCUUGUCGUGGUGGAGAAGGAGGUUGUUGACAUUCGUCUUGGUGCACUUCCUCGUUUUCUUCAUCUCGGUGUGUCCCACUUGUGGAUGCUUCCAUAUCAACUCUUGGUUCACCUUAUCGUGAGGUAGAAGCUUCCACUUGGACGGACGAGGUACUCUCCUUCACCUCCGUUGGAUGAAUCUUGGCAAUGGACAAGUCUUGGAUUGCUUCCAAGGGGUCUUUGUCUCCUACAUCAAUUGGCAAUUGCUCUACUUGCGAGCCGUUAGAUUCAUCAAACUUCACAUCUACCGUUUUUUCAACCUUUCGGGUGAAGUUGUUGUAGACACAAUAUGUGUGAGAGUUUGAGCCAUAACCAAGUAGAAAACCUUCAUGAGACUUAGGAGCAAAUUUAGAACGAUGAUGCUUAUCAAGAAUGUAGCACUUUGAGCCGAAUACUCAAAAGUAUCCAACUUGGGGUUUGUUACCGGUGACGAGCUCGUAUGCCAUCUUGCCGAGUAGCUUGUGAAGAUACAAGCGAUUUGCUGCAUGACAAGCUGUCUCAACCGCUUCCGCCCAAAAGUGCUUCGGCGUCUUGUACUCAUCAAGCAUCAUUCUCGCCAUUUCGAUGAGCGUCCGGUUCUUCCUCUCAACAACUCCAUUUUGUUGAGGUGUGUACAUAGCCGAGAACUCGUGUGAAAUACCUUCUUCGUCAAGAAAGGUAUCCACAUUUGCGUUCUUGAACUCCAUUUCGUUGUCGCUGUGAACCUUCUUGAUCUUCACUUCAAAUUGAUUUUGGGCCUUCCUAGCAAAGUUUUUGAAGAUCUUUUGGACCUGCGAUUUAUCAUCGAGAAAGAACACCCACGUAAAUCUUGAAAAAUCAUCAACUAUAACUAGACCAAAGGAAUUUCCACCGAGACUUUUGUAAGCGUUGGGACCAAAAAGAUCCAUGUGAAGUAGCUCGAGUGGCCUCCUUGUGGUCACGAUGUUCUUCACGGGAUGCCUUCCUCCAACCUGUUUACCUGCUUGACAAGCGCUGCAAAGUCUAUCCUUAUCAAAUAUGACAUUGUUAACUCCAAGGAUAUGAUUUCCUUUAAUAAGUUUGUCAAGGUUUCGCAUGCCAACAUGACCUAAUUGUCUAUGCCAUAACCAACCUUUAGAGGAUUUAGCAAUAAAGCAAGUUCUAGGUUGAGCCUUUUUAGUGAAAUCAACAAUGUAUAGAUCACCUCUACGUAGACCGGUAAAGAUCAUUUUAUGAUUAUCUCUACGAAACACAUGGCAAUCUACUUCAGCAAAUAGGACAUUGAAACCGAAAUCAGCAAGUCUAGAUACUGAAAGUAAGUUGUAGCCAAGAGAUUCAACGAGCAUGACAUUUUGUAUGGAGCUAUCAUGUGAUAUGGCCACCUUACCGAGGCCAACCACCAUACCCUUUGAGUUGUCACCGAAAGUGACAUACUUUCAAGGACCAUCAUUUUCAGCAAGCUCGCGAAACAUAUCUUUAUCUCCGGUCAUGUGAUCGGUACAUCCACUAUCAAGAACCCAUUCCUUUCCUCCUGCCAUAUAUCCCUGAAGAUUUGCCAUAAGACCAAAGUGUCUCAUUGCAUCAUCAAGAUCAAAGUCACUAUCAUCAUCCUCAUCAUAGUAUCCAUGUUCAACAUCGUCAUGUGGUGGAUCAAAUCCUAGAGAGGGUGAUUCAUUAGAGUGAGUUUGACAAUAAUCUUGCUUAUGAAUUUUUAUAGCUUCGGAAAUAAUAUUACUAAUAAUUCCAACAUCUCCUUUGGCAUGCAUAAGGUUUGUAAGCUCAAAUAGACAAUCACCAAACAUAGGAUCACUGGAAUUCAUCUUACUCAAGGCAAUAGACUUAUAGAGAAUUUCAUCAAGAUUUUUCAAGGAAUAAUUUGGAAAACGUUCCUCAAGAAAUUUCCAUAUAGUGUAGGCACACUUAAGAGUAGGCAAACAUCCAAUCAAGUUUCUAGGCAAGCCUCUAGUGGUAAGUUCAACAGUUCUAAGAUUGCGAAUCAUGUCAAUUGACUCAUCAAGAGUAGGAUGCAUAGGAUCAACAUGAGGUGCACAAGGGCUAGCAAUGUACUUGUUCAAAUGAUAUUGACUGAAAAUCACAAGCAUCUCAUUUUUCCACUCAUGAAAGUACUCUCCAUCAACUAUAGGUACUCUAUGUCUAAGACUCCCAAUAGUAGACUCAUCCAUCUUCCUCCAAUGGUGUUUAAACCAACAAUGGAGACCAAAGCUCUGAUACCAAAAGAAAGGAUAGCGAAGAGGUGUCUAGAGGGGGGUGAUUAGACACCAAGUACCAAAAGUUGCAGUUUUUAACUUCUUUAAGUUGGAGUGGAGUUUAGGCACAAGUUUAACAUUCACAAUACAUAUCAAGAAAUCAUGCAAAGAGUAUAUGAGCAGCGGAAAGUAAAGCAUGCAACUUGCAAGAAUGUAAAGGAAAGGGUUUGGAGGAUUCAAACGCAAUUGGAGACACGGAUGUUUUUGUCGUGGUUCCGAUAGGUGGUGCUAUCGUACAUCCACAUUGAUGGAGACUUCAACCCACGAAGGGUAAUGGUUGCGCCAGUCCACAGAGGGCUCCACCCACGAAGGGUCCAUGAAGAAGCAACCUUGUCUAACCCACCAUGGCCGUCGCCCACGAAGGACUUGCCUCACUACCGGUAGAUCUUCAUGAAGUAGGCGAUCUCCUUGCCCUUAUAAACUCCUUGGUUCAACUCCACAAUCUUGUCGGAGGCUCCCAAGUGACACCUAGCCAAUCUAAGAGAUAUACCACUCUCCAAGAAGAAACAAAUGGUGUAUUAAUGAUGAACUCCUUGCUCUUGUGCUUCAAAUGAUAGUCUCCCCAACACUCAACUCUUUCUCACAGGAUUUGGAUUUGGUGGAAAGAAGAUUUGAGUGGAAAGCAACUUGGGGAGGGCUAGAGAUCAAGAUUCAUAUGGUAGGAAUGGAAUAUCUUGGCCUCAACACAUGAGUAGGUGGUUCUCUCUCAGAAAAUGUAUGCUGGAAGUGUAGGUUCGUUCUGAUGGCUCUCUCCACGAAUGAAGAGUGGGUGGAGGGGUAUAUAUAGCCUCCACACAAAAUCUAACUAUUACACACAACUUGCCAAUCUCGGUGGGACCGAAUUGAGAAACUCGGUCGGACCGAUUCAGCAAAUCUAGUGACUGUUAGGAUUUUCGAUGGGACCGACAUGCAACUCGGUAGGACCGAUAUGGUUAGGGUUAGGGCAUAAUGUAAUCUCGGUGAGACCGAUUACUCAAACUCGGUAGGACCGAUAUUGGUAAUAAGCUAACCAGAGAGUUGGUCAGGCAAACUCGGUGAGACCGAUUACACAAACUCGGUGGGACCGAUUUUGGUAAUAAGCUAACCAGAGAGUUUGCAUUGUAAUCUCGGUAGUACGGAUUGCUCAAACUCGGUGAGACCGAUUUUGGUAAUGGACAUACACAGAGAGAUUGCAAUCCCAUCUCGGUGAGACCGAGAUCCCUAUCGGUGACACCGAUUUGCCUAGGGUUUGUGGCAGUGGCUAUGACAUCUGAACUCGGUGGCGCCGGAUAGAAAGAAUCGGUGGGGCCGAGUUUGACUUUUGGUUUAUUUCAUAUGUGGAUGUGAGAAAGUAGUUGAGGGCUUUGGAGCAUAUCACUAAGCAUUUAGAGCAAGUAAGCCAUUAAGCAACACCUCAUCCCUCCUUGAUAGUAUUGGCUUUUCCUAUAGACUCAAUGUGAUCUUGGAUCACUAAAAUAGAAAAUGUAGAGCCUUGUUCUUGGAGCUUGAGCCAAUCCUUUGUCCUUAGCAUCUUGAAGAGGUUCCACAUCCUUUAGUCCAUGCCACUCCAUUAUUGAACUUGUCUGAAACAUACUAGGUAAAAGUGUUAGUCCAACAAGAGAUAUGUUGACAUUAAUUACCAAAAUCACCCAGGGAUCACUUGUGCUUUCAAUACCCAACUUGGAUGCUCAUCAUUCUAGGACCAAAUUUGUAACCAUAGCAAAUACCAUGCUGUUCUAAAAGACUCUCAAAAAGAUAUAAGUGAAGCAUGAGAGACUAGCAAUUUCUUAAAAAUUAAUCCACUGCCGUGCUCUAAAAGAUAUAAGUGAAGCACUAGAGCAAAAACUAUCAAGCUCAAAAGAUAUAAGUGAAGCACAUAGAGUAUUCUAGCAAAUUCUAAUAAAGUGGGCUUCUCCCAAAAGGUGUGUACAGCAGGGAUGAUUGUGGUAAACUAAAAAGCAAAGACUAAUAUAAUAUACAACGCUCCAAGCAAAACACAUAUCAUGUGGCGAACAAAAAUAUAGCUCCAAGUAAAGUUACCAAUAAAGGAAGACGAAAGAGGGGAUGCCUUCCCGGGGCAUCCCCAAGCUUAGGAUUUUGGCUAUCCUUAAAUAUCUUGGGGUGCCAUGGGCAUCCCCAAGCUUAGGCUCUUGCCACUCCUUAUUCCAUAGUCCAUCAAAGCUCUACCCAAAACUUGAAAACUUCACAACACAAAACUCAACAGGAAAUCUUAUAAGCUCCGUUAGUGAAAGAAAACAAAACCACCACAUAAGGUACUAUAAUGAAAUCAUUCUUUAUUUAUUUUGGUUUUAAAGCUACUGUAUUCCAACUUCUCUAUGGUUUAUAAACUAUUUUACUAGCCAUAGAUGCAUCAAAAUAAGCAAACAACACAGGAAAAACAGAAUCUGUCAAAAACAGAACAGUCUGUAGAAAUUUGUAACUAACACAAACUUCUGGAGCUCUAAAAAUCCUACCAAAAUAGGAAGUCCUGGAAAAUUUAUCUAUUGAUCAGCGUCAAAAAGAAUCAAUGCAAAAUCAUGUUUCUGUGAUUUAACAAAACUAAAAUAGUGCGUGCAAAGUUUCUGUUUUUCAGCAGAAUCAAAUCAACUAUCAUCAUAUAGGUUAUCCUAUAGGUUCUACUUGGCACAAACACUAAUUAAAAGAUAAAAACACAUCUAAACAGAAGGUAGAUGCAAAAUUUAUUACUAAACAGGAACAAAAACAAAAAACACAAAGAAAAUUGGGUUGCCCCCCUACUAGCGCUAUCAUUUAACGCCCCUAGCUAGGCAUAAAAGCGAAGAUAGAUCUAAGUAGUGCCAUCUUUGGCACUCAUAUUUUUAAUAGAGUUAUGCUCAAGUCCGGGAGACUCUAUGCGUUUCCCUUCAUGCUCAGAGAUCCUUUGAUCUAAGGCAUCCAACUGCUUAUUGUAAAGUGUGAUCAAAUUAUUCAUGCGAUUGGUACUCCCAACAAUAUUCUUAAAAGGCUCAACAAGUUUUUGCAAUUCAAGUAAUUUCUCUAAAAUUUUGGCUCCUUCAAGAGAGAAGGGCGAUCCGUUUUGUCAGGGGAGUACUCCUACUAUUCCCUCUAUAAUUUCAUAAGUAGAACUCGGAUCAAUUUCAAUAAACUCUCCUUUUGCGGCACAAUCAAGGAGUUGUUUGUGGGGUAAGGUUAACCCAACAUAAAAAUUGCGAAUUAAAAUCUUGAAAUCUCCUUCUAAAUCGCAACUACGAUAAGAUUCUAACAUCCUAAACCAAGCAUCUUUUAAAUUUUCUCCUUGUCUUUGCUUGAAGUGGAGAACUUCAAAAUCGGGAGACAAAAGGAUAAAGACUGAGCUAGCCAUAAUGACAAGGUAAACGAACCAACACACGAGCAACAGAAAAAGGCAAGCGAAAGAGAGAGGAGGAGAUUGGGAAAGAGAGGGCGAAUAAAACGGGAAGGGUGAAGUGGGGGAGAGGAAAACGAGAGGCAAAUGGCAAAUAAUGUAAAUGCAAGGGAGAUGGGUUUGUGAUGGGUACUUGGUAUGUCUUGACUUGAGCGAAGACCUCCCCGGCAACGGAGCCAGAAAUCCUUCUUGCUACGUCUUGAGCUUGCGUUGGUUUUCCUUGAAGAGGAAAGGGUGAUGCAACAAUAGUAGCUUAAGUAUUUCCCUCAGUUUUUGAGAAAGGUAUGAAUCCAGUAGGAGGCUCCUCAAAAGUCCCACGCACCUACACAAACAAACAAAGAACUUGCAACCAACACAAUAAAGGGGUUGUCAAUCCCUUCACGGCCACUUGCGAAAGUGAGAUCUGAUAGAGAUAAUAUGAUAAGAUAAAUAUAUUUUUGGUGUUUUAUAAUAUAGAUGCAAAAAUUAAAGAUGCAAAUAAAAGUAGAUUGAAAGCUUAUAUGAUAAAAGAUAGACCUGGGGUCCAUAGGUUUCACUAGUGGCUUCUCUCAAGAUAGCAUAAGUAUUACGGUGGGUGAACAAAUUACUAUCGAGCAAUUGAUAGAAAAGCGAAUAAUUAUGAGAUUAUCUAGGCAUGAUCAUGUAUAUAGGCAUCACGUCCGCAACAAGUAGACCGACUCCUUCCUGCAUCUACCACUAUUACUCCACACAUCGACCUACUCCUGCGUGCAUCUAGAGUAUUAAGUCCAUAAAGAACAGAGUAACGCAUUAAGCAAGAUGACAUGAUGUAGAGGGAUAAACUCAUGCAAUAUGAUAUAAAUCCCAUCUUUUUAUCCUCGAUGGCAACAAUACAAUACAUGCCUUGCAACCCUUUCUAUCAUUGGGUAAGGACACCGCAAGAUUUAACCCAAAGCUAAGCACUUCUCCCAUGGCAAGAAAGAUCGAUCUAGUAGGCCAAACCAAACUGAUAAUUCGAAGAGACUUGCAAAGAUAACUCAAUCAUACAUAAAAGAAUUCAGAGGAGAUUCAAAUACUUCUCAUAGAUAAACUUGAUCAUAAACCCACAAUUCAUCGGAUCUCGACAAACACACCGCAAAAAGAGUUUACAUCGAAUAGUUCUCCACAAGAGAGAGGGAGAACAUUGUAUUGAGAUCCAAAAAGAGAGAAGAAGCCAUCUAGCUAAUAACUAUGGACCCGAAGGUCUAUGGUAAACUACUCACAACUCAUCGGAGAGGCUAUGGUGUUGAUGUAGAAGCCCUCCAUGGUCGAUUCCCCCUCCGGCGGAGUGCCGACGAAGGCUCCAAGAUGGGAUCUCACGGAUACAGAAGGUUACGGUGGUGGAAAUUGUGUUUCGUUGGCUCCCUGGAUGUUUUCGGGGUACGUAGGCUUAUAUAGGAGGAAGAAGUACGUCGGUGGCCGCCCGAGGGGCCCACGAGAUAGGGGGGUGCGCCCAGAGGGGGUGGGCGUGCCCUCCUGUCUCGUGGCCGCCUCGGCUGCUUCUUGACUUGCACUCCAAGUCCUCUGGAUCACGUUCGUUCCAAAAAUCACGCUCCAGAAGGUUUCAUUUCGUUUGGACUCCAUUUGAUAUUCCUUUUCUUCGAAAUACUGAAAUAGGCAAAAAACAGCAAUACGGGCUGGGCCUCUGGUUAGUAGGUUAGUCCCAAAAAUGAUAUAAAUGUGUAAAAUAAAGCCCAUAAACAUCUGAAAGGGGUAAUAUAAUAGCAUGGAAUAAUAAAAAAUUAUAGAUACGUUGGAGAUGUAUCAUCGAGCUUUGUAGAUAAUGACAUUACCAUCAGCAUAUGUCUUCUUCUUGAAGAUCCAUUUAUUCUCAAUGGCUUGCCGAUCAUCGGGCAAGUCCACCAAAGUCCAUACUUUGUUCUCAUAAAGAUUAGUAAGAUCUCACAAAGAUUUGCAAGGAAUUUUCUGAAUGAUAUGCAAUGAAUUGGAUGCAGAAAAUGCAGAGCAAACAGAAAGAAAUCUAGAUGAAGUUUUUUUUGAAAGGGGAAACGAAUAUGCAUGAGACAAAUGCAAAAACACAGAAAAGAACACAAGAGAACUUCAUCUAGAGAUUGUCAGCGACAAAGUCACCUAUGUUAGAGUAUAUUGACUUAGGAGUCAAGUGAGAUCACUUGAUCAUAGGUCAUACUCAUCGUUUAAGCUCAAAACGGGGUUGCCAUUUUUCGUUUAAGCAUCUUGAUGUAUUCACAUCUUGUCGAGUUGCUUUAGCUCAUGACUUGGAGUAAAGCUUCUCUAAGAUGUAAUAACAUACCUUGGUUGGUGGUGUUGAACAUGUAGUUGAACUUGUGUGGGUUGCUCAAGGUUGAUGUAGCUCAUCAAGAAUUGGGAGCACCACUUGGAAUUUGAGUCCAUCUACCUACAUGGGUUAGUUUUUGCAAGUAAGAGCACUUGUGUAUCCAAAAUGACAAUCAUGAAGUUCAAUAGUAAAUUUGUCAAAGGAUAUGUUUGAAUGGUUCCGUGCUUCCUUGUCUUCAACCACCAUUGGGUAGAGACUUGGUGAUGUAGAGAUUGCUCAAGAUGUGAGUAGAUUACAAUCUCAGGGAAUUUGAUUCAACCAAGUACCUACAUGGGUUAUAUAACAUGCAAGAUGCAAAUAUAUCCAAGACAUAAGAUCUUCAUCAUAAGAGAAAUAUCAAGGAUUAGUCAUAAGCUCAUGUCUUGCAUGUGUCCAAUGGAGUUUCUACUCCAAGUUUGAAGCAUCUAUCAUGUUCAAUUCUCCUCUCAACCCGCAAAACACUUUCUCAUCAAGAGGUUUAGUUAAUAUAUCCGUUAAUUGCUUUUCGAUGCGAACAUGCUUAAGAUUAAUGUCACCCUUAGCAACAUGAUCUCGAAUGAAAUGAUGACGAACUUCAAUAUGCUUAGUUUGAGAAUGUUGUACGGGAUUAUGACCAAUUUUGAUAGCACUUUCAUUGUCACAAAGCAAUGGAAAAUGUUUCACAUAUAUCCCAUAAUCUUUAAGAGUUUGGGUCAUCCAAAGUAAUUGAGCACAACAUGAACCAACGGCAAUGUUUUCCGCUUCAGCGGUGGAUAAGGAUACCGAGUUUUGUUUCUUGGAGGACCAAGACACAAGAGAUCUACCAAGAAAUUGACAAGUACCUGAAGUGGACUUUCUAUCAACCUUGUCUCUGGCAUAGUCCGAGUCGGAGUAGCCAACAAGAUCGAAAGAGGCCCUCUUAGGAUACCAAAUGCCAAAAUUUGGUGUAUGGAUUAAGUAUCUCACUAUCCUUUUCACGACCUUAAGAUGACAUUCUUUAGGAGCAGCUUGAUAUCGUGCACACAUGCACACACUUAGCAUGAUAUCGGGACGUGAAGCACAUAGAUAUAACAAUGAACCAAUCAUAGAGCGAUAAACCUUUUGAUCAACCAGUUCACCAUCUUUGGUCAAGUCAAGAUGUCCACUAGUAGGCAUGGGUGUAGUCAUACCUUUGCAUUCUUGCAUAUUGAACUUCUUGAAUAGGUCCUUGGUGUACUUCGUUUGAGAAACCAAAGUACCUUCCUUAGUUUGCUUGAUUUGCAACCCAAGAAAGAAUUUGAGUUCACUCAUCAUAGACAUCUCAAACUUCUCCGACAUUCUUCCCAAACUUUUCACUAAAAUGAGGGUUAGUGGAACCAAAUAUAAUAUCAUCAACAUAGAUUUGGCACACAAAUAGUUCUCCAUUGACCCUUUUAGUAAAAAUAGUAGAAUCUAUUUUUCCAAUUUCAAAGCCUUUUUCAAUAAGGAACUUGGUCAAGCAUUUAUACCACGCUCUAGGAGCUUGUUUAAGACCAUAAAGGGCUUUGUGAAGUUUGUAAACAUGAUUUGGUUUCUUAGGAUUGACAAAGCUAGGAGGUUGCUUAACAUAAACUUCCUCCUCUAUUUCACCAUUUAGAAAAGCACUUUUAAUGUCCAUUUGGUACAAGGUGAUAUCAUGGUGAUUAGCAUAGGCAAGUAAGAUGCGAAUGGACUCAAGUCUAGCAACGGGGGCGUAAGUCUCACCAUAGUCCAUACCUUCGACUUGUGUGUAGCCUUGGGCGACGAGACGUGCUUUGUUGCGAACUACUUGUCCAUCUUCAUCUUGCUUGUUGCGAAACACCCAUUUGAUACCGAUGAUGUUGUGGUUGUUGUCGGGCUUCUCAACCAAUGUCCAAACUUAGUUCCUCUAAAAGUUGUGUAGCUCUUCAUGCAUAGCAUUUAUCCAAUCCAGAUCUUCCAAUGCUUCUUCGACCUUCAUAGGUUCAAUGCUAGAGAUGAAAGAAUAGUUUUCACAAAAGUUAGCUAAACGAGUUUUAGAGCGAGUGAUUCUCCCGGUUUGAAUAUCAUUGUAGAUUUGCUCGACGGGAUGGUCUUUAGCAAUUCUUGCUCAAACUCGUGAAAGCUUUUGCUUGGUUCUUGGUUGAACUUCUUCUUCAUCUUGUUCUUCUUCUUGGCCUUGUUCAUUGUUGGCGUUGUCGUUCUCUUGUCGUGGUGGAGAAGGAGGUUGUUGACGUUCAUCUUGAUGCACUUCCUCAUUUUCUUCAUCUUGGUGUGUCCCACUUGUGGAUGCUUCCGUAUCAACUCUUGGUUCACCUUGUCGUGAAGUAGAAGCUUCCACUUGGAUGAACGAGGUACUCUCCUUCACCUCCGUUGGACGGACCUUGCCAAUAGACAAGUCUUGGAUUGCUUUUGAAGGAUCUUUGUCUCCUACAUCAGUUGGCAAUUGCUCUACUUGCGAGCCGUUAGAUUCAUCAAACUUCACAUAUACCGUCUCUUCAACCUUUCGGGUGAAAUUGUUGUAGACACGGUAAGUGUGAGAGUUUGAGCCAUAACCUAGUAGGAAACCUUCAUGAGACUUAGGAGCAAAUUUAGAACAACGAUGCUUAUCAAGAAUGUAGCACUUUGAGCCGAAUACUCGAAAGUAUCCAACUUGAGGUUUGUUACCGGUGAGGAGCUCGUAUGCCGUCUUGCCGAGUAGCUUGUGAAGAUACAAGCGAUUUGUUGCAUGACAAGCUGUCUCAACCGCUUCUGCCCAAAAGUGCUUCGGUGUCUUGUACUCAUCAAGCAUCGUUCUCGCCAUUUUGAUGAGCGUCCGGUUCUUCCUCUCAACAACUCCAUUUUGUUGAGGUGUGUACGUAGCCGAGAACUCGUGUGAAAUCCCUUCUUCGUCAAGAAAGGUGUCCACAUUUGCGUUCUUGAACUCCAUUCCGUUGUCGCUGCGAACCUUCUUGAUAUUCACUUCAAACUGAUUUUGAGCCUUCCUGGCAAAGUUUUUGAAGAUCUUUUGGACUUGCGAUUUAUCAUCGAGAAAGAACACCCACGUAAAUCUUGAAAAAUCAUCAACUAUAACUAGACCAAAAGAAUUUCCACCGAGACUCUUGUAAGUGUUGGGACCAAAAAGAUCCAUGUGAAAUAGCUCAAGUGGCCUCCUUGUGGUCAUGAUGUUUUUCAUGGGAUGCCUUCCUCCAACCUGUUUACCUUCUUGACAAGCACUGCAAAGUCUAUCCUUAUCAAAUAUGACAUCGUUAACACCAAGGAUAUGAUUCCCUUUAAUAAGCUUGUCAAGGUUUCUCACGCCAACGUGACCUAGUCGUCUAUGCCAUAACCAACCUUUUGAGGAUUUAGCAAUGAUGCAAGUUUUAGGUUGAGCCUUUUUAGAGAAAUCAAUAAUGUAAAGAUCACCUCUACAUAUACCGGUAAAGACCAUUUUAUGAUUGUCUUGACGAAACACUUGGCAAUCUACUUCAGUAAAUAGGACAUUGAAACCGAAAUCAGCAAGUCUAGAUACUGAAAGUAAGUUGUAGCCAAGAGAUUCAACGAGCAUAACAUUAUGAAUGGAGCUAUCAUGUGAGAUGGCCACCUUACCGAGGCCAACCACCUUACCCUUUGAGUUGUCACCGAAAGUGACAUACUUUCGAGGACUAUCAUUUUCAGCAAGCUCACGAAACAUGUCUUUAUCUCCGGUCAUGUGAUCGGUACAUCCACUGUCAAGAACCCAUUCCUUUCCUCCUGACAUAUAUCCCCGAAGAUUUGCCAUAAGACCAAAAUGUCUCAUUGCAUCAUCAAGAUCGAAGUCACUAUCAUCAUCCUCAUCAUAGUAUCCAUGUUCAACAUCGUCAUGUGGUGGAUCAAGUCCUAGAGAGGGUAAUUCGUUAGAGUGAGUUUGACAAUGAUCUUGCUUAUGAAUUCUUAUAGCUUCGGAAAUAAUAUCACCAAUAAUUCCAACAUCUCCUUUGGCACGCAUAAGGUUUGUAAGUUCAAAUAGACGAUCACCAAACAUAGGAUCACCAGUAUUCAUCUUACUCAAGGCAAUAGACUUAUGGAGAAUUUCAUCUAGAUUUUUCAAGGAAUAAUUUGGAAAGCGUUCCUCAAGAAAUUUCCAUAUAGUGUAGGCACACUCAAGAGUAGGCAAGUUUCUAAUUAAGUUUCUAGGCAAGCCUCUAGUGAUAAGAUUAACAGUUCUAAGAUUCCUAAUCAUGUCAAUUGACUCAUCAAGAGUAGGAUGCAUAGGAUCAACAGGAGGUGCACAAGGGCUAGCAAUGUACUUGUUCAAAUGAUAUUGAUUGAAAAUUACAAGCAUCUCAUUUUUCCACUCAUGAAAAUACUCUCCACCAAGUAUAGGCACUCUAUGUCUAAGACUCCCCAAAGUAGACUCAUCCAUCUUCCUCCAAUGGUGAUUAAACCAAGGCAAUGGAGACCAAUGCUCUGAUACCACUUGUAGGACCUUGAGAUGAGGUGUCUAGAGGGGGGGGGGUGAUUAGACACUAAGUAUCAAAGUUGCAGUUUUUAACUUCUUUAAGUUUAAGUGGAGUUUAGGCACAAGUUUAACAUUCACAAUACAUAACAAGCAAGCAUGCAAAGAGUAUAUGAGCAGCGGAAAGUAAAGCAUGCGACUUGCAAGAAUGUAAAGGGAAGGGUUUUGGAGGAUUCAAACGCAAUUGGAGACACGAAUGUUUUUGUCGUGGUUCCUAUAGGUGGUGCUAUCGUACAUCCAUGUUGAUGGAGACUUCAACCCACGAAAGGUAACGGUUGCGCGAGUCCACGGAGGGCUCCACCCAUGAAGGGUCCACUAAGAAGAAACCUUGUCUAUCCCACCAUGGCCAUCGCCCACGAAGGACUUGCCUCACUAGCGGCAGAUCUUCAUGAAGUAGGCAUUCUCCUUGCCCUUACAAACUCCUUGGUUCAACUCCACAAUCUUGUCGGAGGCUCCCAAGUGACACCUAGCCAAUCUAGAAGACACCACUCUCCAAGAAGUAACAAAUGGUGCGUUGAUGAUGAACUCCUUGCUCUUGUGCUUCAAAUGAUAGUCUCCCCAACACUCAACUCUCUCUCAUAGGAUUUGGAUCUGGUGGAAAGAAGAUUUGAGUGGAAAGCAACUUGGGGAAGGCUAGAGAUCAAGAUUCAUAUGGUAGGAAUGGAAUAUCUUGGCCUCAACACAUGAGUAGGUGGUUCUCUCUCAGAACUGUUAAGUUGGAAGUGUAGGUUUGUUCUGAUGGCUCUCUCCACGAAUGAAGAGGAGGUGGAGGGGUAUAUAUAGCCUCCACACAAAAUCUAACCGUUACACACAAUUUACCAAACUCGGUGGGACCGAAUCAACAAACUCGAUCGGACCGAUUUAGUAAAUCUAGUGACUGUUAGGGUUUUCGGUGGGACCGACAUGCAACUCGGUAGGACCGAUAUGGUUAUGGUUAGGGCACAACGUAAUCUCGGUGAGACCGAUUACACAAACUCGGUGAGACCGAUUUUGGUGAUUAGCUAACGAGAGGGUUGGUCAGGCAAACUCGGUGGGACCGAUUACUCAAACUCGGUGGGACCGAUUUUGGUAAUAAGUUAACUAGAGAGUUUGCAUUGUAAUCUCGGUAGUACUGAUUGCUCAAACUCGGUGAGACCGAUUUUGGUAAUGGACAUACACAGAGAGAUUACAAUCCCAUCUCGGUGAGACCAAGAUCCCUAUCGGUAAGACCGAUUUGUCUAGGGUUUGUGGCAGUGGCUAAGACAUUUGAACUCGGUGGCGCCGGAUAGAAAGAAUCGGUGGAGCCGAGUUUGACUUUACGUUUAGGUCAUAUGUGUGGAAGUGGGAAAGUAGUUGAGGGUUUUGGAGCAUAUCACUAAGCACUAUGGAGCAAGAAACUCAUUAAGCAACACCUCAUCCCUUCUUGAUAGUAUUGGCUUUUCCUAUAGACUCAAUGUGAUCUUGGAUUACUAAAAUGUAAAAUGAAGAGUCUUGAGAUUGAAGCUUGGCCAAUCCUUUGUCCUUAGCAUCUUGAAGGAGUUCCCACAUCUUUUAGUCCAUGCCACUCCAUUGUUGAACUUAUCUAAAACAUACUAGAUAAAAGUGUUAGUCCAACAAGAGAUAUGUUGACAUUAAUUACCAAAACCACCUAGGGAGCACUUGUGCUUUCACCAUGUUUGGCGCCCACCGUGUCAGAAUGGGCUUAGAGGCGGUCGUGUCACGUCUAAUUGAAGUUACUAACCUACCCCUAUUGAGAGCAGUGGAAAUCGAGCCGAUGGAUUGUCCGUGUAAGGGGGUAGACAAUAUUUCCAUCUCCCAAACACUGGCUUCGGGCAGCGGACAUGGGAGUGGCCAUUUUGCCGCUUCUUUCGAAUUUUGGGACAAUAAGCAUCCAUGUUUACCCUGGCAACUAAACUCGAAUCCAUUUUGUAUUCCUAUACGAAACUUUAUAAAUCAUUCUAUGUGUUUUUAUAUAUCUUCAAAAGCACGACAAAGAUAUAUUCCACUGUCAUAUAUGAAUAUGAUUUACAAAUGCCGAUACUCGAAUUUAGAAGCUAGAAUCCAGUUUAAGGUGAAUUCAAAUAUUUGAAACCACUUUAUGUCCAACUCAAGUGUCACACGUAGCAUAAUGUGUACUCCUAUUUAGAUAUAUACACAAGCAAUGUCUCAAAAUACCAAGUCAAUCAACCAAUAAUGUACAAAACUAACAGACAUAUAAACACUUAUAGUGUAUAUGGAUCAAUAACAUCAACUAACAUACAUAAGCCAGGCUGCUGUACUUUUGUUUGCUAGAAGAGCAUCCUUUUUUAGCGAAGCUAGUACAACAUCUUGGGAUUUUCAUAUGCGUGCCACUUAAGGACCAUCUAUACUACUAUUAUUAAUGAAUGCACAUUCAGCCGAUUGGCAUAUUUUUUGGUCUGGCACAACAAUCAAAAGGAAAUGUCUCAUAGUCUUAUCAACUAAUACAGACUUGUGCUAACAAAAAUUACAACCCAAAAAACAAAAAAAAAUAUAACAUGAUCUCUAAAACAAAUGGUUUGGUCGAUUACAUGAACAAACAACACAAAGGUUAUUCAACGAUGGAAAGAACAUUUCACCUAUGAUUUACCAAGUGGGAAUUUAAUUUCCUUUUUUUCCUUCAGGACUUUAACAAUGCGGUCAGUCUCAACUUGCUUCAUUUUGAAAUCCACCAAAUAUUUAAUGGUUGUCUUGAGUAAAAAGUACUAUUUGUGAUUGUGCUAUUUGCUUCCUCAACAUGUCAAUUUCAUCUCUAAGUGCAGAAGCAUAAUAUCUUUCUACCAAUAGUUUAGCCUCUAGAGCAUCAGCAGUUGGCAAUUCAUGAUGCACGAUUGGGCCGAUGCCACUGCUGUGGGAUGAUACACCAUCCAUGGGGACCUCGCUCUUUGAUCUUGGGCUAACCUGUUUUGUCAUUAAAGUUCCGAUUGGAUUCCAAAAGGUUGAAGUUAGCAAAACAUCUCAACUGGGAGUUAUAGCAACAAACCAGUUAAACAAACAAGGAAUUAAAGAGUUUCAAUUGGAUGCUGAAAAGUAGUUAUUGACAUCAUUGUAACCGUUUGCAACAGCAAAGCAGUUAAACAAACAAGUUUUGCAAAAGGUGCAUGUUGUGGCAUUGGAGUUUCUCUUGGAUCCUGAAAAGUUGAGUAGCUAGUUAUGUGAUUAGAGCAAUGGGUUGUAGCAGCGAAGCAGUUAAACAAAGAAGUUUUGCAAAAGGAACCUGUUGUGGCAUUGGAGUUUCUUUUGGAUCCUGAAAAGUUGAGUAGUCAGUAACUUGAUUCGAGCAACAAGUUACAACAGCAAACCCGUUACACAAAUAUUUUUUUGAAAAUAUAGCUACUGUGCAAUUGGACUUCCAAUUGGGUCCUGAAAACUGGAAGUUGGUAAGAUGAUAACAACAACAAGUUACAGCAGCAAACCAGGUAAACAAGGAAGUUUAUGAAAACAUACCUGUUGUCCCAAUGGAGUUUCAGUUGGAUCCUGCAAACUUGAAUGUUAGCAAUCAUAAAUAAAGUGUUGCAAGAGCCAUAAGAAACUAACAUCAAACUAGUAAAACUAACCAGUUUUGGCAAAGUAUUUAAUUACACAUGAACUAGUAAAACUAACAAGUUCUUGGCAAUGUAUUAAAGUAACAAGUCGGUAUCGUUUACCAGCAACACAAACAUAUGUAAAUUUCUUUGAUGUAAGCAAAAUGAUUCCAACACACACACACACACACACACACACACACACACAUAUAUAUAUAUAUGCAUAUAUAUAUAUAUAUGUAAGUUAAAAAGAUGGUGUCCUUCAUAUAAACCUGACAGUUGUCUAUCUGUAAACAUGCAAACAUUACUAGUGCUACAAGUGAUAACAACAAACCAUUUAAACAAAUAGGGUAUCAGAACGUAAAUUACACGUGAAUUCUGUUGCACCCUAGAAGUACAUAUGACUAGCUAUCUAUGUGCUUAAAUAGAUAUUUAACUUCAGACAAACAUGUAAUUCUUAACAGUAAGUAUCAAACACAUAGAUAGGCGCAGUCUAUAAUAGGAUUAACAAGCUAUGGCAUUAUGUAAUUAGUAGCAAACUAAAUUAAGCCAAGCAACGUAACUGAACAAUUUUGCAAUAAGUGGCUAACUAAAAUUCCGAAAAGCACAUAACUGAACUUACGCUAGCUCUUUGUACAGGCAAACUGCAACUUCUUUUUUGCUUACAAGGUUCUACGAAGGAUUCCGUGUCAUCAAUUGCUUGGAUACACAGUCCCAAUACUUCUUUCUUUCCACAUCGCAUUAAUUGGUAAGUCGAGUGGUUAAUCUGAUAAGAUGGUGCAUCCUUGAUAUGUUAUAUGAGGAUGGGUUGUCAGACUAGUUGUAGCCACACACAUCACACUGGCUUUUACAGUAUAUUUCAUGCGAUUACAUUUGGCAGAUCGAGAUCUAAGCAAACUACAAUAGGAUGAAAAUACCGGCAUCCUUCACAUUAUUGGCGAACUCAGUUCAUAGAAACAAGCAAUUCAACCAUUCUAUGGGUAAAUCAAAAGCGCUACUGGAAUAUUUUUCACUGCCCCAAUCAUACACGCAAAAAGGGGUGAUGCCACAGUAGGGGCUGGUUGAUGUCUACUACACAACCUUCUUCUUGUAGACGUUGUUGGGCCUCUAGGUGUAGAGGUUUGUAGGACAAUAGCAAACUUCCCUCAAGUGGAUGACCUAAGGUUUAUCAAUCCGUGGGAGGCAUAGGAUGAAGAUGGUCUCUCUCAAAAACCCUGCAACCAAAUAACAAAGAGUCUCUUGUGUCCCCAACACACCCAAUACAAUGGUAAAUUGUAUAGGUGCACUAGUUUGGCGAAGAGAUGGUGAUACAGGUGCAAUAUGGAUGGUAGAUAUAGGUUUUUGUAAUCUGAAAUUGUAAAAACAGCAAGGUAGCAAGUGGUAAAAAUGAGCGAAAAUGUUAUUGCAAUGCUUCGAAACAAGGCCUGGGGUUCAUACUUUCACUAGUGCAAGUUCUCUCAACAAUGAUAACAUAAUUAGAUCAUAUAACAAUCCCUCAACGUGCAACAAAGAGUCACUCCAAAGUCACUAAUAGCGGAGAACAAACGAAGAGUUUAUUGUAGGGUACGAAACCACCUCAAAGUUAUUCUUCCGGAUCAAUCCAUUGGGAUAUUCCUAUAAGUGUAACAAACAACCCUAGAGUUUGUAGUAAAAUAACACCUUAAGACACACAUCAACCAAAACCCUAAUGUCACCUAGAUACUCCAAUGUCACCACAAGUAUCCGCGGGUAUGACUAUACGAUAUGCAUCACACAAUCUCAGAUUCAUCAAUUCAAACCAACACAAAGAACUUCAUAGAGUGCCCCAAAGUUUCUACCGGAGAGUCAAGACGAAAACGUGUGCCAACCCCUAUGCAUAGAUUCCCAAGGUCACGAAACUCGCAAGUUGAUCACCAAAACAUAUAUCAAGUGGAUCAAUAGAACACCCCAUUGUCACGACGGGUAUCCCACACAAGACAUACAUCAAGUGUUCUCAAAUCCUUAAAGACUCAAUCCAAUAAGAUAACUUCAAAGGGAAAACUCAAUUCAUCACAAGAAGGUAGAGGGGGAGAAACAUCAUAAGAUCCAACUAUAGUAGCAAAGCUCGCAAUACAUCAAGAUCGUGCCAUAUCAAGAACACGAGAGAGAGAGAGAUAGAUAGAUCAAACACAUAGCUACUGGUACAUACCCUCAGCCCCGAGGGUGAACUACUCCCUCCUCGUCAUGGAGAACGCCGGGAUGAUGAAGAUGGCCACCGAUGUUGGAUCCCCCCUCCGGCAGGGUGCUGAAAUAGGGCCUCGAUUGGUUUUUGGUGGCUACAGAGGCUUGCGGUGACGGAACUACCGAUCUAGGUUCUGUUCUGGAAGUUUGGGGAUAUAUAAGAGGUGUUGGCGUCGGGAGCAAGUCAGGGGGUCCCCGAGUCAGCUACGAGGUAGGGGGCGCGCCUAGACGCCACCCUCGUGGUGGCCUCGGGACUCUUCUGGUCCAUCUCCGAUGCUCCGUGUGCUUCUUCUGGUCCAAAAAUAAUCUCCGUAAAUUUUCAGGUCAAUUAGACUCCGUUUGGUAUUCCUUUUGUGUAAAACUCAAAAACAAGGAAAAACAGAAACUGGCACUGGGCUCUAGGUUAAUAGGUUAGUCCCAAAAAUCAUAUAAAAUAGCAUAUAAAUGCAUACAAAACAUCCAAGAUGGAUAAUAUAAUAGCAUGAAGACUUCAUAAAUUAUAUAUAUGUUGGAGACGUAUCAGCACCCCCAAGCUUAAUUCCUGCUCGUCCUCGAGUAGGUAAAUGAUAAAAGAAUUAAUUUAUGAAGUGUGAAUGCUAGCAAGUGCACAAGUUUGAUCAACGAUGAUUUCAAUCACUUUUUCUGGCAUCAUUAUAUAUCAUAACAAUAGCUCAUAUCAUAGAGCUUCUCAUGAUCAAGUAACAAGCUAUUCACAAGUUAAAGCAUAGACCAUAAUUUUUCUUGAAAACUAACAAACUAUGUUCUCAGUCACCAAACAAUUGCAAUUCAUCUUAUUUUCAGGAAGGGUCUAUGUAAGAGCUUUGAUUUAGAAUUCCCACAUACUCAACUAUCAUAUAGUCUUCCAUGAUUGCUACCACUCAAAGCAUAUUUUUAGAACAAAUAGCAUCCAUCGAACACAGAGAAAGAUAGGGGCUUAGUGUUUCACCUCCCAAGUUACUUAUCAUAUAGAUAAUUGUCAACAGAAAUAAUUCAUGAUCAAAUAUAUUUAAAUGGCCAUAUAUGCUUAGAUCUUUCCCAACCACAUGAUGCUUGCCAACUAAAGAGUAGGUUGGAAUGAGAAGGGUAACUACUGACUCUUGCAUAAAAGUAAAAGAUAGGCCCUUUGCAGAGGGAAGCAAGGAUUUGCAGAGGUGCCAGAGGUCGAAGCUUUUAAAAUAGAGAUAAAAUAAUUUUGAGAGGUAUGCUUUCAUUGUCAACAUAACAACUAAGCGUUCCAGAUAUCUUCCAUACUAGAUACAUUAUAGGCGGUUCCCAAAUAGAAUGGUAAAGUUUUUACUCGCCCACCACCAACAAGCACAUACCACGGCUAGUCCAAAACAAUGGGUACCGUCCAACUAUCAACAAUCCUGGGGGAGUUUUGUUUAAUUAUUUGUGAUUUCGUUUUUGAUCUUUUGAUCAUAGGACUGGGCAUCCCAGUUACCAGCCACUCUCUCGUGAAUGAUGAUAGGAGUCCACUCAUCGUGAGAAUACCCACCUAGCAUGGAAGAUACUGACAGCCCCUAGUCGCUACAUGAGUGAUUCAGGCAUACAAAACAAAUAAUUAUUUGAAGGUUUAGAGUUUGGCACAUUCAAAUUUACUUGGAACGGUAGGUAAACACCGCAUAAAGGUAGAUAUGGUGGACACUGAUGGCAGAAACUUGGUUCAAGGAUUUUGGAUGCACAAGCAGUAUUCCCGCUUAGUACAGAAAUUUUGGCUAGCAAAGAAUUCUAAAUAGCAAGCACCACAUGUUGGAGGAUCUAUAACAAUAUAACUUCUAUACAAAUAUACCCAAACAUAACUCAUUAAGUUGUCUUCCUCGUCCAACUUCAACUAAUUUGAUCGAGUUUGAAAAUAAUUAAUGGGGCUCACAAUCAUAUAAGAUGUCCAAGAUAGUAUACUUAUAUGUGAAAUCUGCCUUCCUUCAAUAUUCUUUCAUGAAUUGUUCAAGUGACCAAUACUAUGUUUGCUAACUUUAAAUAAAUUUACCACCUAUACUCCUUAUCUGUGAAGUCAUUACUCCCCCAUGGGAUAAGCAUAUGAAACAUAUAUAAUUUUAGAUUUCAACCAUUUACCCAUAGGAUAUAAGUGAAGCACAUGAGUAAAUGACAAACUACUCCGAAAGAUAUAAGUGAAGAUCAAUUAGUAGUUGAAUAAUUAUGUAACCAUGUGAAGAUUCUCUAACAUUUAAUAAUUUCAGAUCUUGGGAUAUUGUUCAAAAAGCAAGCAAAACAAAAUGAAAUGACAUUGCAAGAAUAGCACAUAUCAUGUGAAGAAGCAAAAACUUAGGCUCAACCAAAACUGACCGAUAGUUGUUGAAGAAGGCGGGAUGCCAACCGAGGCAUCCCCAAGCCUAGAUGCUUGAGACUUCUUGAAAUAUUAAUUAGGGAUGCCUUGGGCAUCCCCAAGCUUGAGCUUUUGUGUCUCCUUAAUUCCGUUUAUAUCAUGGUUUCUUUAAAUCUCGAAAACUUCAUACACACAAAACUCAACAAGAACUCAUGAGAUAAGUUAGUAUAAAUCAACGCAAUAACCUUAUCAUUCUCUACUGUAGCAAAUCACUAAAAAUAUAUUAUUUGAUAUUGCCUACUAAAUGCCUCUGCAUAUUUAACACUCCUAUCCUCGAAUAGAAUCAUUAAACAAGCAAACAUAUGCAAACAUAACAACAAUCUGUCUAAACAAGACAGUCUGUAAAGAAUGCAAGAGGAAUCAUACUUCCCUAAAUCCAAAAAUUCUGAAAAAUCACCACACUAUAGAGAAUUUUUUGUUACUCAUUGUGUCAAAAUUUCAAGAUUUUAUCAUAUUCUUACUAUUCACCAAUAUUCAAAACAUAACAGAAAACUUUCUGUUUGCAAAAACAGCAACAUAUAGACUUGUAAAACAAGCAUGGUAAAGGCUAUACUUGA
rnacentral:lncRNA from 1 species